AAUAAUGGAAUAGGACCUCGGUUUCUAUUUUUGUUUGUUUUUCGGAAUUCCGAGGUAAUGAAUUAUGAGGGACACUGGGGGCAUUCGUAUUGCGACCGUUAGAGGUGAAAUUCUUGGAUCGCGCAAGACGGACAGAACGAAAGCAUUUGCCAACUGGUGUUUCAUCAAUCAAGAACGAAAGUUAAGUUCGAAGGCGAUCAGAUACCGCCCUAGUUCUAACCAUAAACGAUGCCAGCUAGCGAUCCGCCGAAGUUCCCCGAUGACUCGGCGGGGCAGGCUUCCGGGAAACCAAAGCUUUUGGGUUCCGGGGGAAGUAUGGUUGCAAAGCUAAACGUAAAGGAAUUGACGGAAGGCACUACAAGGAGUGGAGCCUGCGCUUAAUUUGACUCAACACGGGAAACCUCACCAGGUCCGGACACCGGAAGGAUUGACAGAUUGAGAGCUCUUUCUUGAUUCGGUGGGUGGUGGUGCAUGGCCGUUCUUAGUUGGUGGAGCGAUUUGUCUGGUUAAUUCUGAUAACGAACGAGACUCUAGCCUGCUAAAUAGGCGUACUUUCUCCGGUAUCGCAAAGACCCUCCGCUUCGGCUUCGGUCGUUGUUGGUUGUGGUUCUUACUACCGGCGUACAAAUAUCUUCUUAGAGGGACAGGUGGCAUUUAGUCGCACGAAAUUGAGAAUAACAGGUCGUGAUGCCUUAGAUGUUCUGGGCCGCACGCGCGCGACACUGAAGAGAUCAGCAGGUUUUCCUUGGCCGAAAGGUCCGGGUAAUCCGUUGAAGCCUCUUCGUGCUAGGGAUUGGGGCUUGCAAUUCUUCCCCAUGAACGAGGAAUUCCUAGUAAGCGCGAGUCAUAAGCUUGCGUUGAUUACGUCCCUGCCCUUGUACACACCGCCCGUCGCUACUACCGAUUGAAUUAUUUAGUGAGGUCUUCGGACCGGUGCGCGGCAGCGUUUCGACAUUGCCGAUGUUGCUGGGAAGAUGACCAAACUUGAUUAUUUAGAGGAGUAAAAGUCGUAACAAGGUUUCCGUAGUGAACCUGCGGAAG
rnacentral:rRNA from 1 species